UCAUUAUCCACAGCUGCAGAGGAAGAGGACACUUGGCCCUGAAAAUAGUCAUCGACAUCCACUCGACAGGCAAAAACAGCCCCAGCUCAUCUUUAGUUCCUUUUGUCUCGGCUCAUCUCCCAGUAGUAAAGCUAGUGCCGUGUGCUCUGUGACUGUUUCUUUGUUUUAAACUUUUCCGACAAAACUUCGUGAAGCACCAAGUCAUUUUCAACGCAUUGCUGGACUCCUGAAAGAACCUGUGGAUUGGAAAAUAACCGGAUCUGACAGACCCUGAGCGCUACUAUCUGGGAUCAGACAAUGAUCGGGACGUUGUACUUCCUCCUGGUACUUCUACAAGCUGUAGUGUCAGAAGAGUGGAGAGGUGACACUCCACGAGAUGUGACAGCGCAGAAGGGUUUGUGCGCCCGGAUCCCCUGCCACUACAGUUACCCCUCACAUCUGGCCGAUGAACCGCGAGCUGGAGUCUGGUUUAA